CCCCUAGAUGUUCUGGGCCGCACGCGCGCUACACUGACCAGUGCAACAAGCAUCCGUCCUUGGCCGACAGGCUCGGGCAAUCUUUGAACGCUGGUCGUGAUGGGGAUAGACUUUUGCAAUUUUUGGUCUUCAACGAGGAAUUCCUAGUAAACGCAAGUCAUCAACUUGCAUUGAUUACGUCCCUGCCCUUUGUACACACCGCCCGUCGCACCUACCGAUUGAAUGGUCCGGUGAAAUCUCGGGACGGCGGCUUGGUCGCUUGCGUCCGACUGCUGAAACUUGAUUAAACCAUAUCAUUUAGAGGAAGGUGAAGUCGUAACA
rnacentral:rRNA from 1 species